rnacentral:rRNA from 1 species
GAGUGAACGCUGGCGGUAGGCCUAACACAUGCAAGUCGAACGGCAGCACAGUAAGAGCUUGCUCUUACGGGUGGCGAGUGGCGGACGGGUGAGGAAUACAUCGGAAUCUACUUUUUCGUGGGGGAUAACGUAGGGAAACUUACGCUAAUACCGCAUACGACCUACGGGUGAAAGCAGGGGAUCUUCGGACCUUGCGCGAUUGAAUGAGCCGAUGUCGGAUUAGCUAGUUGGCGGGGUAAAGGCCCACCAAGGCGACGAUCCGUAGCUGGUCUGAGAGGAUGAUCAGCCACACUGGAACUGAGACACGGUCCAGACUCCUACGGGAGGCAGCAGUGGGGAAUAUUGGACAACGGGCGCAAGCCUGAUCCAGCCAUACCGCGUGGGUGAAGAAGGCCUUCGGGUUGUAAAGCCCUUUUGUUGGGAAAGAAAAGCAGCAGGUUAAUACCCCGCUGUUCUGACGGUACCCAAAGAAUAAGCACCGGCUAACUUCGUG